rnacentral:rRNA from 1 species
CAGCCGCCGCGGUAAUACGAAGGGGGCUAGCGUUGCUCGGAAUGACUGGGCGUAAAGGGCGCGUAGGCGGCUUGUUAAGUCAGAUGUGAAAUUCCUGGGCUUAACCUGGGGGCUGCAUUUGAUACUUGCGGGCUAGAAUGUGAAAGAGGGUCGUAGAAUUCCCAGUGUAGAGGUGAAAUGCGUAGAUAUUGGGAAGAACACCGGUGGCGAAGGCGGCGACCUGGUUCAUGAUUGACGCUGAGGCGCGAAAGCGUGGGGAGCAAACAGGAUUAGAUACCCCGGUAGUCCCUGUCUCUUAUAC